rnacentral:rRNA from 1 species
CACGUAAGGUGCAAGCGUUGUUCGGAAUCAUUGGGCGUAAAGGGCAUGUAGGCGGCGCAGCAAGUCUGGAGUGAAAGGCAGAAGCUCAACUUCUGGACUGCUUUGGAAACUGCUGCGCUGGAGUCGCUGAGGGGGAGCCGGAAUUCCAGGCGUAGGGGUGAAAUCUGUAGAUAUCUGGAAGAACACCAAUGGCGAAGGCAGGCUUCCAGCAGGCGACUGACGCUGAGGUGCGAAGGUGCGGGUAGCGAAC